ACCUACGGGGGGCAGCAGUGGGGAAUAUUGGCCAAUGGGGGGAACCCUGAUCCAGCGACGCCGCGUGAGUGAAGAAGUAUUUCGGUAUGUAAAGCUCUAUCAGCAGGGAAGAAAAUGACGGUACCUGACUAAGAAGCCCCGGCUAACUACGUGCCAGCAGCCGCGGUAAUACGUAGGGGGCAAGCGUUAUCCGGAUUUACUGGGUGUAAAGGGAGCGUAGGCGGUGCAGCAAGUCUGAUGUGAAAGGUCGGGGCCCAACCCCGGGACUGCAUUGGCAACUGUUGAACU
rnacentral:rRNA from 1 species